UACAGAGGUCUCAAGCGUUGUUCGGAUUCAUUGGGCGUAAAGGGUGCGUAGGUGGUGGCGCAAGUCUGGUGUGAAAUCUCGGAGCUUAACUCUGAAAUGGCACCGGAUACUGCGUUACUCGAGGACUGUAGAGGAGAUCGGAAUUCACGGUGUAGCAGUGAAAUGCGUAGAUAUCGUGAGGAAGACCAGUUGCGAAGGCGGAUUUCUGGGCAGUUCCUGACACUGAGGCACGAAGGCCAGGGGAGCAAACGGG
rnacentral:rRNA from 1 species